rnacentral:rRNA from 1 species
AGCGAACGUUUGCGGCGGGCUUAACACAUGCAAGUCGAACGGGCUGUUCCUUCGGGGGCAGUCAGUGGCGCACGGGUGCGUAACACAUAGGUAAUCAACCCUCUGGUUGGGGAUAACACUUCGAAAGGAGUGCUAAUACCCGGUAUGGCGCAGCGGUCUUCGGAUCGCGGCGAGAAAGACCCGCAAGGGUUGCCAGAGGACGAGCCUGCGGCCCAUCAGCUAGUUGGCGAGGUAACGGCUCACCAAGGCGAAGACGGGUAGCUGGUCUGAGAGGAUGAUCAGCCACACUGGAACUGAGACACGGUCCAGACUCCUACGGGAGGCAGCAGUGGGGAAUAUUGCGCAAUGGGCGAAAGCCUGACGCAGCCACGCCGCGUGAGCGAUGAAGGCCU